rnacentral:lncRNA from 1 species
CUCAUUGGGUGCGUGAGAAGGGAAGGGUGGAUCCUAAAAGAAUUCAGAAAGGCAAGAGACCACCUUACUGAGCUUCAAACUGGGGCUGGGAACGCUGCCAUGAAUUGGGCUUGGUCUGUCUGAAGGGAGCCACCUUUUCGACAAUCCUUAGACUUCUUUUGCCUGUUGGAAUUACACCUUGGAUCGUGGCGAAGUCUAUAGAGCCUGGUUGCAGAGUGAGCCCAUGGGACAGCCCUCUGAAAUUAUACUGCUUACAACCAUGCUGAGUCUGCAAGGACUUCGUCCAAGCCUUUCCGUCCAGGACCUCAAACAGAUCCAAUCACAAGAAGAGAGAUUUCAGGAAAGAGAAAAUUAUUCCUAUCAUCGGGGUUUUUGAAGAACAUGAAAUGACUGGGAAAAUAAUCAUGUUAAGUGGAAAAAAAAAAGAAAUCUAUCUGUUGUAAUUUUCAAAUAAUUUUUAAAUAAAUUUGAAAAAUUAAGAGAACUAUA